ACAUUUUUAAUACAACUCUGAUUUGUCUGAAAGAAGAAAGUCUUAUACCCCUAGGAAGGCUUGAGGGCGAGUAAGUCAUGGGGUAAUUUUCAUUUUUGGGUAAACUAUCCCUUUAAGAUAAAUGUUAACUGA